rnacentral:rRNA from 1 species
GUCGAGAAUCUUUCACAAUGGGGGCAACCCUGAUGGAGCGACGCCGCGUGGAGGAUAAGGUCUUCGGAUUGUAAACUCCUGUCAUGUGUGAACAAGGUUGCUUGGUUAAUACCUGGGCAAAUUGAUGGUAACGCAAGAGGAAGAGACGGCUAACUCUGUGCCAGCAGCCGCGGUAAUACAGAGGUCUCAAGCGUUGUUCGGAAUCACUGGGCGUAAAGGGUGCGUAGGUGGCGUGGUAAGUCAGAUGUGAAAGCCCGGGGCUCAACCUCGGAACUGCAUCCGAUACUGCCAUGCUAGAGUACUGGAGAGGUGACUAGAAUUCUCGGUGUAGCAGUGAAAUGCGUAGAUAUCGAGAGGAAUACCAAAGGCGUAGGCAGGUCACUGGACAGUUACUGACACUGAGGCACGAAGGCCAGGGGAGCGAACGGGAUUAGAAACCCUUGUAGUCC